GAUGAACGCUGGCGGCGUGCCUAAUACAUGCAAGUCGAGCGAACGGACGAGAAGCUUGCUUUUCUGAUGUUAGCGGCGGACGGGUGAGUAACACGUGGAUAACCUACCUAUAAGACUGGGAUAACUUCGGGAAACCGGAGCUAAUACCGGAUAAUCUUUUGAACCGCAUGGUUCAAAAGUGAAAGACGGUCUUGCUGUCACUUAUAGAUGGAUCCGCGCUGCAUUAGCUAGUUGGUAAGGUAACGGCUUACCAAGGCAACGAUGCAUAGCCGACCUGAGAGGGUGAUCGGCCACACUGGAACUGAGACACGGUCCAGACUCCUACGGGAGGCAGCAGUAGGGAAUCGUCCGCAAUGGGCGAAAGCCUGACGGAGCAACGCCGCGUGAGUGAUGAAGAUCUUCGGAUCGUAAAACUCUGUUAUUAGGGAAGAACAUAUGUGUAAGUAACUGUGCACAUCGUGACGGUACCUAAUCAGAAAGCCACGGCUAACUACGUG
rnacentral:rRNA from 1 species